ensembl:snRNA U7 U7 small nuclear RNA
AGGUGUUACAGCUCUUUCAGAAUUUGUCUAGCAGGUUUCCCGGUUUUUACUGAAACCAAA